rnacentral:rRNA from 1 species
UAAUUAAUUAUUUUUAUUUUUUAUAGGUUUAGUAAUAUUUUUUUUAAAUUCUUUUUUUAAUUAUAGUUUAAUUUUAAUGUAAAUGAUUUUGUUUCUUUUUGUUAAAGAAUUUUUAUUUAUUUUACCUUUUGUAUCAGGGUUUAUUUAAUAAUUUUUUUUUAUAAAUUUUUCUCGAAUUGUGAGGAUUUAUUUUAAUGUGAUUUUUAACGUUUUAUAGUUAUUUUUUAUUUUAUGAUGGUAGUGAAAUGCUAUUCGUUUCUUAAUAUAUCUAGUUUUCUGAGAAUUAAAUUUAAUUUUAAGGGUUUUUUUAAUUUAAUUUAUUUAAGUUUAUUUAAUUUUUAAUUCUCUUUUAAUUUUAAGGGGUUAAGCUCUUAAUUGUUUUAUAAUUUUAUUUUUUUUUAACAAGGUUAUAGGCUUGAAAUCAGCCUUUGUUUUAUUUGCGUUUUAGCAUACUUGUUAUUUUAAUUAUUUUUUAUUUUAUUUAAUUCUUUUAUUGGAAUAUUAACUUUAAUUUUUUUUUGUUAAUUAAUUAUGAUGGAAUUAGUAUAUUUAUUUGACUUUAAUUUUUUUUUGUUAAUUAAUUAUGAUGGAAUUCGGCAAGUUUUUUAUGUUUCCGCCUGUUUAUCAAAAACAUCUCUUUUAGUUUUUAUUAAAGGUCGUGCCUGCUCACUGAUUUAUUAAAGAGCCGCGGUAUUUUGACCGUGCAAAGGUAGCCACUGAUUUUUAAAGAGCCGCGGUAUUUUGACUGUGCAAAGGUAGCAUAAUCAUUAGUUUAUUAAUUGUAAACUGGAAUGAAAGGUUUGACGAGAAACAUUCUGUCUCUGUUUAAUAUAUAGAAUUUUAUUUUUUAGUAAAAAAGCUGAAAUAUUAUUUUAGGACGAUAAGACCCUAUAGAGUUUUAUUUAUCUAUUUUUUAUGAUUUGGGUUCUUUUUCUUUUAUAGAUUUUUGGAUAUAGUUUUGUUGGGGUGAUGUGAAUAAUUGAUAAACUAUUCAUUUAUUUUUUUUUUCAUUGAUUUAUGUUUUUUAUGAUCUUUUAUUAUUGAUGUUGAGAUAUAAUUACCUUAGGGAUAACAGCGCAAUUAUUUUUGAGAGUUCUUAUUGAUAAAAUAGAUUGUGACCUCGAUGUUGGAUUAAGAUUAUUAUUUGGGUGUAGAAGCUUAAAUUAUUGGUCUGUUCGACCAUUAAAAUCUUACAUGAUCUGAGUUCAGACCGGUGUGAGCCAGGUUGGUUUCUAUCUUAAGUUAUUUUUUAAAUUUUCUAGUACGAAAGGACCGUUAAUUUUAAUUAUUUUAUUUUUUUUUGAUUAUUAUUA